CUACAUCGUCUCUUCAAAUGGCUGCUGAACAGGUGAACAUGAUUUUAAGCGAGUCUAAGAGUGAUGAGAUGGCUUCAGAAGGCGCCUCGAUAUCCACCUCCACCUGCCAUAUUGAUCUGUGGAAGUAAUUAAUCAAAACAGAACUUUAAUUGAACUCCUUGUUCAACAAGGAAAAAAAAUGAGGCAUAUAUUAUAGUGACUAAAGUGUAUGUACUAAUAUAUCAAAGUAUCAAACUGUUGAUCUAGUUGUUGUACAUAAUAAUUCUAAUAUCGGUCAUCAAAUUUGUUGUGCUAAGCUAUACAAUAUGUAUUAUCUUGAUUUUAAUAAUUUGGUAUUCGUUAUAAAUACGAUCGUUUGUUCAAAUUGAUAUAUAUUGCUAAUGCAUUUUUCCUGAUCAUCAUUGUAUACGUGGUUUUGUUGCUUAAUCAUUCAUUGCCUUGUAUGCACAUGCGAAUGUUUAAUAAAAAUCUAAUAUUUUGUAGCGUAUAUAACGAAAAUUUAUAAACGUAUUUAUAUAAUAUGCAUGCAUUGGAAAAUUUUGUAGUGAUAAUACAAUAUUCAAAAUUUUGUAGUGUAAAUAAUGAAAAUUAAGUCCUGGAUAUGUUUAUACUAUAAGUACGUAUAACCAUAGAUUAAGUUGCUAGAUUAAUGUUCUUAAUAAUAUAAAAACAUCCGAACAAAGUACCUGCAUAACAAAUUUAUGGACGGAAAACUUCAAUUCACCUACAGCGCAAUAACUAACAAGCUUUUUGAUUUUACGGGAUAUAUAGCUGAUGGAAAGAAAAAAUAGCGUAUCCGAAAAAUUAGUAGCACUAUCAAUCAGUAGUGUGCAUAGGUGUGGUAGCUAGUGUAUGACAAAUAAUUUUGCAAAAGAAGUUUAUGACAUGAUGCAUGCUUGGGGGGAUGCUGAAAUGAACCUGGUAAUCGGAGUAUAUGUCAAUUAACAUGAAAACCAUGCAUGUAACUCCCUCUCAAAACGUGCAAUAUAAUUCUCUUCUGUUAUACAAAGUUUUCUACAUAAAUAAGGUUCACACUAUACUGCCUUCAAAGGUAUACUUUAAAUAUAUAUAUUUUUUUCGGGCAGAUUUACCAAAGGAUUCAUGGCAUACCAUGAGAUUAAAAAGGAAAAUUGAUAUAAAAAUUGAAAUUAAGAGAGAGAGAGAGAGAGAGAGAGAGAGAGAGAGAGAGAGAGAGAGAGAGAGUGUAAUUAGCUCUACAAACAUAGAUGGAGACCUUUGGCUCAUUGUUUUGUAAUAAAAGGAAACCGCUUAAUUAUCACUCUAGAUAGGAUCCCUAUGGAAUUGAAACAAGAGGCCAAAUUUCCGUAUAAUAAUUGCCAAACAACAUAAUAUCAUUUAGUAUGGGCAAACAUAGUUGUGUAAAAUCAAAUAGAGAUAAAAGCAUGAUUGGUGAAGAAGGUACGUCGAACCAGACACUGAAUGGUUUGCUUAUUUUCGCUGGUUAGUAUGUUAAUCAAGGGAUCAUGACAAGUUUAACAUACACUAAUGGCAUAAAAGCAAAAAAGAACAGGAUAAAAAGUUGCUUGUUAUGGACAAUUUCUCUAUAAAGUCCACAGUCCAUCAACUUGUCAAAAUUAGCACAAAUGAAUCUCGAAAUGUAAAGCCUUUCAUGCAUGGAAACCCUGUGAUCCGUUUAAAUGUUGAACGAAAGUUAAGAAAUUAAAAUCUACGCAAACUACCCAAAAAUAACAAUAAAGAACUAUAAAUUUUGAGACAAGAUCCUAAAAAGGGAAACAGUAUUACGGUAUGCAUGUUUGGCUUUAUGGGAAAAAAUGUAGGACUUACCAUGAAUUCGAGGACUCCCACUUAUAACCGAAGAAUUCACUGAAGCAAUCUAAGAGAGAAUAUCUAUAUAUUACGAGGUUUGUAUUCUGAAUCUGAUAAUGAAGUUUGAGGGAAUUCAGGUGGGAUCUUGAGAUCUUCUCCAUCUAUAAAAUAUUGAGAAAAAGAAAAGACAAGUAAUGGCAUGAGUCGAUGAUUCUG
rnacentral:lncRNA from 1 species